UUAUUAUGAACUAUUAUUUAGACAACACUUUACCUCUGAAAUGUAAUAGAGUUGAGACAUACGGUCGAGUUGAGCUUUGAAUUAUUCUAUAUCAGGUAUUUUCACAACUUGCUUAACCUUGUUAAUAAUGGUUUCACUUUUACCGUUCAACUAAUGGAAUCUCUAUAUUAUUACAUUGUCACGUGCCCCUUUCGUUGCGAAUACUUCAGAGUCUGAGUCAGUUGGCCAGUUGGUGGAAAGCUUUCAAUUUCCUAUAACAGAAUUUGAUCUGAAUCAUCUUUGCGUGGUUAGAAGACAGUUUCUCAGACGUUAAUCGGAGCGGUCUUUCAAGGUAGCAUACAGUUUGAGGUCAAUUUUGUUUGGGCUUCCCAGAAAUCACUAUUAGCGUGAAUCAUUAUCAUCAUAUCUCAAAAAAACUUUUUCUGUUGUAAAAAAAACUUUUUUUCCGGUAAUCAAAAACAUUAUGUAAAAGAUUGAUUGCACUAAAAAGAUUUUUAGUGUUUAUUAGUAAUAUUAAAAAAUGUUAUCAACGUACAUCUUUUGGGUAAACUUUUGGUUCCCCUCUGGGCUUUUUCAGACGCAAUGACUAGCCAUCUCCAAUAUUUAUGCAAAUAUCAAAAACCAGCCCAUUAAAACCUCCAAAUCCCUGGGGCAACCAAGCAGUUGCCCUGAAUUGCACAUUUAGGUCAUGAACCGGAAACGUCUUAAUUACAUGAAAUAAGUGAAGCUCAAAGUCAAUUUAAAUGCACCACAAAAGUAAAAAAAUCGCAGAGUGAACAAAAAAACAAAAGUGCAAAAAAGGGGCGAAAAAAGGCGCAGACAGCAGAGUAUUGCAUACAUAAAAAACUCGAAUCAAGUUAAAUAAUUAAGCUGGCCAGUAAAGCAGAACAACAGGAAGGGAAUGAGGGAGAUAUCUAGACUAGUAAAAGAGAGACAGAAAAUCGUCUGACAAAGGAACGAAAUCCCAGCAAGCGAAAUGUCAAUAAGAAUUUCAAAAUCAGUUUUUUAUACAUUUUGUAGGAGUUUUUUAAAAUUGAAAAUUCCAUAUUAUUUAGAUAGUACUUUUAAAGAAGAGGUAUCUCGAGAACAAGAACUGAGGCAGAAACGAUAAAUCGAAGACCUUGAACUUUGGUAACAACAAGAAAUGAGCCUGAAAAGAUCAAAAUCGAGAUGGCAAAGGGGCAACAUUACCAGCAUUAAAUCAAGCAGACCAAACCAAAGGUCCAAUGUAGGGCAGACAGAGAAGGACGGCAACAGAAAAACAAGAGGAGAACAGCGAGGGACUCGUCUGGUUAUUAGCAGGAUCGGCAAAGUAUAAAACUGGUUGCAGAGGGAGCCCAUGAAGAAGUUUCUCAGGCAAGUGCCAUUGACCUACAAGCAAAAGUCGUUGGCUUCUUGUGGAUCGCGAAGAACGCAAGCCAGAGGGAAAGAGAAAGGGAUACCGAGUGUAGAAAGAGCCAGCCCAUGAGUCAGGAAAGGGAAAGAGGAAGUGCACAGAGAAACUUGCCAUAUUGGAAAUCUAAAAUUAUUCUAACUAAAUAUUGAAAAUUGUGUACGACUUGGUAUGAAAGAUCUAAACAGGGUUGUAUUUAUAGUAACCUAUAUUGUCAGUCAAAAAGAUCAAAACAAACAAAUCAUCUUUAGCAUUUCGCAUUAUUAAUAACUUUUAUAAUAACGUUUA